rnacentral:rRNA from 1 species
ACAGCAGUAGCCACGGUAAUACGAAGGGGGCUAGCGUUGUUCGGAUUUACUGGGCGUAAAGCGCACAUAGGCGGAUCGAUCAGUCAGGGGUGAAAUCCCGGAGCUCAACUCUGGAACUGCCUUUGAUACCGUCGAUCUGGAGUAUGGAAGAGGUGAGUGGAAUUCCGAGUGUAGAGGUGGAAUUCGUAGAUAUUCGGAGGAACACCAGUGGCGAAGGCGGCUCACUGGUCCAUUACUGACGCUGAGGUGCGAAAGCGUGGGGAGCAAACAGGAUUAGAUACCCCUGUAGUCCCUGUCUCUUAUAC